rnacentral:rRNA from 1 species
ACUCCUACGGGAGGCAGCAGUGGGGAAUAUUGCACAAUGGGCGCAAGACCUGAUGCAGCCAUGCCGCGUGUAUGAAGAAGGCCUUCGGGUUGUGAAAGUAACCUUUCAGCAAGUGAGGAAUGGUGGGUAUGUUAAUAGCAUACGUCAUUUGACGUUAGCUGCAGAAGAAGCACCGGCUAAACUCCGUGCCAGCAGCCGCGGUAAUACGGAGGGUGCGAGCGGUUAAUCGGAAUUACUGGGCGUAAAAGCGCAUGCAGGUGGUUUGUUAAGUCAGAUGUG